GGGAAGUUGAAAGGCAAAAGAGAAAGCAUUGAGUAAAAUGUGUUGAAUGAUAAAAGCAUGAGAAGAAUAGAAAAUAAAAGAAAAGAAAAGCAUGAAAGAUAAAGCUCAAUGCAAAAGAAAAAGGGAAAAGUUGGGAAUGAGUAGAUUGGUUGAAAGAGAGUUGUGCUUGAACUAUGAAUAUCGAAUAACUCUCUUAACUCAAAUAUUUUGUGAUCUAAAAAAACCAAUGUUUCUUGUUAGCCCAGCCACGUUAUAAGCCAUGAAAAAGUCCUUGUGAUGACAUAUGUGUGUAAGAAUGUUGGUUGUAUUAGAUGAAAGUCAAUUUUGUUGCAUGUGACAAGAGGAUAGUAGAGAGAAGAGUGACCUCCUUAAACACUUGAGUGAUUGAGUGAAACACUUUGCUUGGAAAGGAUUGAUGACUUUCAUGAUUACAUUUGUGCUUAGUGGAUUGGUCAUUCAUAAAAAUAGCAUCUG
rnacentral:lncRNA from 1 species